rnacentral:rRNA from 1 species
CCUACGGGUGGCAGCAGUGGGGAAUAUUGCACAAUGGGGGAAACCCUGAUCCAGUGACGCCGCGUGAGGGAAGAAGGAAUUCGUGUUGUAAAGCUCUAUCAGCAGGGAAGAAACAGGUGAUACCUGAUGAAGAAUCCCCCGCUAACUACGUGCCAGCAGCCGCGGUAAUACUUAGGGGGCAAGCGGUAUUCGGAUUUACUGGGGGGAAAGGGAGCGUAGUCGGCGAAGCAAGUCUGAAGUGAAAGCCCGCGGCUCAACCGCGGAACUGCAUUUGAAACUGUUUUGCUGGAGUACCGGAGAGGUAAGCGGAAUUCCUAGUGUAGCGGUGAAAUGCGUAGAUAUUAGGAGGAACACCAGUGGCGAAGGCGGCUUACUGGACAGUAACUGACGUUGAGGCUCGAAAGCGUGGGGAGCAAACAGGAUUAGAUACCCCAGUAGUC